AGCUUUGUGCAGUGGCAGUAUCGUAGCCAAUGAGGUUUAUCUGAGGCGCGAUUAUUGCUAAUUGAAAACUAAAAUGCCCUAACAUAUAUAUGGAAUUUAGAAAGAUGGUAACAAU
ensembl:snRNA U4 U4 spliceosomal RNA